GUUCCCGGCUCCCCGCGGCUCGAGCACAGGGCCCGUCAGAGGGCGGCGGGAAGCAAUGAAGCGGCUUGGUGGCGGCAGAGCGUUGGAACACUGGGGGCCACUGCCCGAAACAGAGCAGGGCACCUGCAAGGCUGCUCCGCAAGCCCGGUGCGGGGGGCAGCAGGCCCAGGAUCAGUAUGUGGCCUGCAACACCACAACAGCCCUUUUGACCUGGAUUGACCUUUGACCAGCCAGUCGUCGAGGUACGGGUAGAUCUGACGCCUGAGGGCCUGCCGUCGAAGGGAAGGUUCAGCAUUGACGGCUGAGCCUCUGUCGACAGACCCGAGAGGAGCAGCCAGGAUGCCCACAGCAUGGAGAUGGCCGAGGCCAUGGUGUGAGCCACGGAGUCAGCCGCAUCUGAAGCUGCCUGGAGGGCCACCCUGGUGCCCUCCUUGAGGAUCACCCGGAAUUCCUUCUUGGACCCUUCGGGAAGCGAAACCUCGAACUUGGCCAUUGCCUGCCACAUGUUGUAAUCAGAGCGGCCAAGGAGGGCUUGGUGGUUGGCCAUUCUCAACU